rnacentral:rRNA from 1 species
AUUGAACGCUGGCGGCAGGCCUAACACAUGCAAGUCGAGCGGUAGAGAGAAGCUUGCUUCUCUUGAGAGCGGCGGAUGGGUGAGUAAUGCCUAGGAAUCUGCCUGGUAGUGGGGGAUAACGUCCGGAAACGGACGCUAAUACCGCAUACGUCCUACGGGAGAAAGUGGGGGCUCUUCGGACCUCACGCUAUCAGAUGAGCCUAGGUCGGAUUAGCUAGUUGGUGGGGUAAAGGCUCACCAAGGCGACGAUCCUUAACUGGUCUGAGAGGAUGAUCAGUCACACUGGAACUGAGACACGGUCCAGACCCCUACGGGAGGCAGCAGUGGGGAAUAUUGGACAAUGGGCGAAAGCCUGAUCCAGCCAUGCCGCGUGUGUGAAGAAGGUCUUCGGAUUGUAAAGCACUUUAAGUUGGGAGGAAGGGUCGUUACCUAAUACGUGGCGAUUUUGACGUUACCGACAGAAUAAGCACCGGCUAACUCUGUGCCAGCAGCCGCAGUAACAC